CCAGGAUUCUCUCAUUGCCUGCAGAUGUGCGCGUGGUGCACAUCUCAGCCUGGGUCUGGGCAUGAGAGAGGGGGUGUGAGGAGGAAGGCACUGGAAUGAUGGAUGGAGGCAAGAGGCCUGACCAAGAACACCUAGAAGAAGCCCGAGGAAAACCGCAGAACGCGCCAACAGCCCUGAAAAUCUAAGACUCUGUUCCCUGGCCAUGCAAUUUUCUACAUCCAGCACCCAAGGCUUGAGUGGGAAUCAAGAGGAGGCUAUGCUUGUUGAAGGAAGAGUCGAUAACGUACCCAGGCCCAGGCCAUCCACUCUCCUCUACUAUGAGGCUGGGGCUGGUGCCAGCAGAAGGCUACCUGAGAGUCGCCGUGUGGGGAAUCCAGGGGGUACGUCUGUGUGAAGUCUUGGCUGAGGCGCAGCCCAGAAGUCUCAGUAAAAGGGAGCAGAAGCUUCUGCCUCAGCCUCCUCUCCUCUCUUCUUCGGACCACGUCUCCCGGGCCCUUUUGUCCCUCCAUCCUUGGCGCUUGCGUGGGGAACACAGCCAUCGUGCUCUGAGGAAGUCCAACCCAACUUGCAGAGAAACCACAUGGAAAAGUGGAAACUCCUGCUGACGGCCAGCAUCCACCUGCUAGACAUGUGUGUGAAUGAGCUCUCAGAUGAGUCCAGCCCCAACCCUGACGACCUCCAGCUGAGGCCCCAAACAUGGGUUACAGGCUUAAAACACGUAAACUCCCCGAGGCUACCGAGCUGGGCAGGGGUGGAGCUCACCCUGUAACGGUAAAACCCUUUGCCACUUUACAAGAGCAGGCACUGUGCUGAGAAGGCAGAGAAUUUCACUGGUUUCUCUCAGCAGCUCUCAGAAAAUGCAAAAAUAUCCUUUUGGCCUCCAAUCAAAAGCCUCUGAGGAAAAAGUCCCCAAGUGCACAAUAGAGAAUUGUGUGACAAACGCGGAUCCGGGACUUCCAGUAGGAAGCCCGGCUGAGAAGGAGCAUUCUCUGGGACCCUUAAAAAGCCUCUCCAGCCCAAGUCACUUGUGUGAUUACGCAGCUGGCAAGAUUACAAGAAACAUAUGGAAAACAGAACCACAGACCAGCGGCACACCCAGGAGCAAAGAACAAAACUGAGCUUUAGGACUGUUAAAGCAGCCCUGGCAGGGAGCACAUUUCCUCGCGGCCCCAUCGCUGUCACCUUCCUUCAUCAGUCAGGCGCCUAUUCUUAGUCUGCAGUAUCUCAGCUGUGACCAAAGAGAACUCUCAACUGGCUGAAGAAUUACAGGGGCCCAGAAUAGCACAUACGAAGCUGGGCAAUGCAAGCCAGCAGGCCUUGCUAAAUUGUUAAGUGGAACAGGGCGGGUAGGAGGGAGACUCUGUGGGUCCAAGAACCUGCCUGUAACAGGAACCUGCUUUUUACCUAGGGAAAAGGUUGGAAUAGCCGGCUUGUGGCAAAAACAAUGCUUUAGGGAAGGAGAAGCAAAUUCAAAGGCGAGAGCUCUUACACAGAAGCCAGAAAGAGUCUUUGUCCAUUUAUUGCCUUGUAUUCAUUUUGCCAGAUUAAAAAAAAAAAAAAAAAAAUGGAGAGGCACCAGGUGGCUCAGUUG